UACGUAGGGGGGCGAGCGUUAUCCGGAUUUACUGGGCGUAAAGCGCGUUAAGGCGGUUGGCAAAGUUGGUUGUGAAAAUCUCAGGGCUCAACCCCUGAAAUUGCGACCAAUACUGGUCGACUAGAGUGCAAGAGAGGAAGGUGGAAUUCCCCGGUGUAGUAGUGAAAAUGCGUAGAUAUCGGGAGGAACACCAGUGGCGAAGGCGGCCCUUCUGGCUUGUAACUGACGCUGUAGCGCGAAAGCGUGGGGGAGCGAACCGG
rnacentral:rRNA from 1 species